rnacentral:rRNA from 1 species
GACGAACGCUGGCGGCGUGCUUAACACAUGCAAGUCGAACGGAAAGGCCCUGCUUUUGUGGGGUGCUCGAGUGGCGAACGGGUGAGUAACACGUGAGUAACCUGCCCUUGACUUUGGGAUAACUUCAGGAAACUGGGGCUAAUACCGGAUAGGAGCUCCUGCUGCAUGGUGGGGGUUGGAAAGUUUCGGCGGUUGGGGAUGGACUGGCGGCUUAUCAGCUUGUUGGUGGGGUAGUGGCUUACCAAGGCUUUGACGGGUAGGCGGCCUGAGAGGGUGACCGGCCACAUUGGGACUGAGGGACGGCCCAGACGCCUACGGGAGGCAGCAGGGGGGAAUAUGGCACAAUGGGCGGAAGCCUGAUGCAGCAACGCCGCGGGCGGGAUGACGGCCUUCGGGUAGUAAACCGCUUUCGCCUGUGACGAAGCGUGAGUGACGGUAAUGGGUAAAGAAGCACCGGCUAACUACGUG